GCUCCAGUGGCCUAGUGGUUUAGAGCAUCUGUCUCAGAUGUGGGAGGUCAUGGGUUCAAACCCUGGCAGAGUCA